rnacentral:rRNA from 1 species
GAUGAACGCUGGCGGCGUGCUUAACACAUGCAAGUCGAACGAUGAAGCCCAGCUUGCUGGGUAGAUUAGUGGCGAACGGGUGAGUAACACGUGAGUAACCUGCCCUUAACUCUGGGAUAAGCCUGGGAAACUGGGUCUAAUACCGGAUAGGAGCGCCUACCGCAUGGUGGGUGUUGGAAAGAUUUAUCGGUUUUGGAUGGACUCGCGGCCUAUCAGCUUGUUGGUGAGGUAAUGGCUCACCAAGGCGACGACGGGUAGCCGGCCUGAGAGGGUGACCGGCCACACUGGGACUGAGACACGGCCCAGACUCCUACGGGAGGCAGCAGUGGGGAAUAUUGCACAAUGGGCGAAAGCCUGAUGCAGCGACGCCGCGUGAGGGAUGACGGCCUUCGGGUUGUAAACCUCUUUCAGUAGGGAAGAAGCGAAAGUGACGGUACCUGCAGAAGAAGCACCGGCUAACUACGUG